AACGAACGCUGGCGGCAGGCUUAACACAUGCAAGUCGAGCGCCCCGCAAGGGGAGCGGCAGACGGGUGAGUAACGCGUGGGAAUCUACCCAUCACUACGGAACAACUCCGGGAAACUGGAGCUAAUACCGUAUACGUCCUUCGGGAGAAAGAUUUAUCGGUGAUGGAUGAGCCCGCGUUGGAUUAGCUAGUUGGUGGGGUAAUGGCCUACCAAGGCGACGAUCCAUAGCUGGUCUGAGAGGAUGAUCAGCCACACUGGGACUGAGACACGGCCCAGACUCCUACGGGAGGCAGCAGUGGGGAAUAUUGGACAAUGGGCGAAAGCCUGAUCCAGCCAUGCCGCGUGAGUGAUGAAGGCCCUAGGGUUGUAAAGCUCUUUCAGCGGUGAAGAUAAUGACGGUAACCGUAGAAGAAGCCCCGGCUAACUUCGUGCCAGCCGCCGCCGUAAUAC
rnacentral:rRNA from 1 species